UUUAUUCCAGUUUCAAAUUCUAUUAAGAUUGUGGGAAUUGAGGCAAGUACUUGAUCCAAAGUUUUGGAAUAAAAGGCACCAGCAAGAUCAUUCUGGCCUAUAUCGAACAUGUAAAGCGCCUUCUGAAAAUAAUCUUGUGCUGGAAGGUACUUAUCAAGUCUUUUACCUGCAAUAAAUGGAUAUCUAUUAACAUUUCCAACAGGUAUAUAUAAUUGCAGGUAUUCUCUAGAUGAUUGUCUAUGUCUGCACCUUUGGCUAGCAAUUCAAGAACCCGAGCUUUGAACCUUACAAACUGAGCCACUUG
rnacentral:lncRNA from 1 species